GACGAACGCUGGCGGCGUGCUUAACACAUGCAAGUCGAACGGAAAGGCCCUGCUUUUGUGGGGUGCUCGAGUGGCGAACGGGUGAGUAACACGUGAGUAACCUGCCCUUGACUUUGGGAUAACUUCAGGAAACUGGGGCUAAUACCGGAUAGGAGCUCCUGCUGCAUGGUGGGGGGUGGAAAGUUUCGGCGGGUGGGGAUGGACUCGCGGCUUAUCAGCUUGUUGGUGGGGUAGUGGCUUACCAAGGCAUUGACGGGUAGCCGGCCUGAGAGGGUGACCGGCCACAUGGGGACUGAGAUACGGCCCAGACUCCUACGGGAGGCAGCAGUGGGGAAUAUGGCACAAUGGGCGGAAGCCUGAUGCAGCAACGCCGCGUGCGGGAUGACGGCCUUCGGGUUGUAAACCGCUUUCGCCUGUGACGAAGCGGGAGUGACGGUAAUGGGUAAAGAAGCACCGGCUAACUACGUG
rnacentral:rRNA from 1 species